rnacentral:rRNA from 3 species
CGGGACUACCCGCUGAGUUUAAGCAUAUCAAUAAGCGGAGGA